UUGGCUAAAGUGUCUUGGCUAAUGUGUCUCGGCUAAGGUGUCUUGGCUAAUGUGUCUUGGCUAAGGUGUCUUGGCUAAUGUGUCUUGGCUAAGGUGUCUAGGCUAAAGUGUCUUGGCUAAGGUGUCUUGGCUAAGGUGUCUUGGCUAAGGUGUCUUGGCUAAGGUGUCUUGGCUAAUGUGUCUUGGCUAAGGUGUCUUGGCUAAGGUGUCUUGGCUAAGGUGUCUUGGCAAAGGUGUCUUGGCUAAGGUGUCUUGGCUAAGGUGUCUUGGCUAAGGUGUCUUGGCUAAGAUGUCUCGGCUAAUGUGUCUUGGCUAAGGUGUCUUGGCUAAGGUGUCUUGGCUAAGGUGUCUAGGCUAAGGUGUCUUGGCUAAUGUGUCUCGGCUAAUGUGUCUUGGCUAAAGUGUCUUGGCUAAUGUGUCUCGGCUAAGGUGUCUUGGCUAAUGUGUCUUGGCUAAGGUGUCUUGGCUAAUGUGUCUCGGCUAAGGUGUCUUGGCUAAAGUGUCUUGGCUAAGGUGUCUUGGCUAAGGUGUCUUGGCUAAGGUGUCUUGGCUAAUGUGUCUUGGCUAAGGUGUCUUGGCUAAGGUGUCUUGGCUAAGGUGUCUUGGCUAAGGUGUCUUGGCUAAGGUGUCUUGGCUAAGGUGUCUUGGCUAAGGUGUCUUGGCUAAGGUGUCUCGGCUAAGGUGUCUUGGCUAAUGUGUCUCGGCUAAGGUGUCUUGGCUAAGGUGUCUUGGCUAAUGUGUCUCGGCUAAAGUGUCUUGGCUAAUGUGUCUUGGCUAAGGUGUCUUGGCUAAGGUGUCUUGGCUAAGGUGUCUUGGCUAAGGUGUCUUGGCUAAGGUGUCUUGGCUAAGGUGUCUUGGCUAAGGUGUCUUGGCUAAUGUGUCUCGGCUAAGGUGUCUUGGCUAAGGUGUCUUGGCUAAUGUGUCUCGGCUAAGGUGUCUUGGCUAAGGUGUCUUGGCUAAUGUGUCUCGGCUAAAGUGUCUUGGCUAAGGUGUCUUGGCUAAGGUGUCUUGGCUAAGGUGUCUUGGCUAAGGUGUCUUGGCUAAGGUGUCUUGGCUAAGGUGUCUUGGCUAAGGUGUCUUGGCUAAUGUGUCUCGGCUAAGGUGUCUUGGCUAAGGUGUCUUGGCUAAGGUGUCUUGGCUAAGGUGUCUUGGCUAAGGUGUCUUGGCUAAGGUGUCUUGGCUAAGGUGUCUUGGCUAAGGUGUCUUGGCUAAGGUGUCUUGGCUAAUGUGUCUUGGCUAAGGUGUCUUGGCUAAGGUGUCUUGGCUAAGGUGUCUUGGCUAAUGUGUCUCGGCUAAGGUGUCUUGGCUAAGGUGUCUUGGCUAAGGUGUCUUGGCUAAGGUGUCUUGGCUAAGGUGUCUUGGCUAAUGUGUCUUGGCUAUGGUGUCUUGGCUAAUGUGUCUUGGCUAAGGUGUCUUGGCUAAUGUGUCUUUGCUAAGGUGUCUUGGCUAAGGUGUCUUGGCUAAGGUGUCUUGGCUAAGGUGUCUUGGCUAAUGUGUCUUGGCUAAUGUGUCUUGGCUAAGGUGUCUUGGCUGAGGUGUCUUGGCUAAGGUGUCUUGGCUAAUGUGUCUCGGCUAAUGUGUCUCGGCUAAGGUGUCUUGGCUAAUGUGUCUUGGCUAAUGUGUCUUGGCUAAGGUGUCUUGGCUGAGGUGUCUUGGCUAAGGUGUCUUGGCUAAUGUG